AGGGAACGCAUGCGUGGAAUCCGAGGUAAGUCGGUGAAGAAAAGCCGGGACUGGAUCAUGGAGAAGAAAGAGAGACGGCGGAGGCAGGGGAGAGAUGUACGUCCAGACACAAAGUACACAGGGCGACAGCGGAAACCCAAAUUCUGACGAAUGUUGUUUGUUGUAAAUAAAGUAUAUAUGUACAGUGGC